CAGAGCUUCCUCUUCACAAGUCACUGCCUCAGAGGAACCACUGGGCCACGCGGAGGAAGACUUGCUUUUCAUGGAGAAUAUUCUGAAGAGAAGAAUUUAAUCUUCCUACUCUACAGACUGAUUCACAUAGGAAGCCACUGGAUUUCCCCUGGGUUAUGCCUCUCAUCUGCAAACUCCCUUAAGGCAAGAACAAUCAUAUGGCUUACCC